rnacentral:lncRNA from 10 species
AGCGGCUUUGAAUAAAGACUGAAGAACACGAACCCAUGCAAGAGGCACAAAACCAUCUGCUUAGUGGUCAUGUGGCAGCAGACAGUAUCUCAGAAGUCCUCGCAGCAUAUGACUUCACUGAUGAAGAUGGAUCACACUUGAGCAGGGAUUCUUGAUCUCUGCAAAACAGCUCAUACACAACAGGAACAAUCUCACAGAUAAGAAAAACUCCAGAAGUUGGUCUCGGGCUAUGAAAAUUUCUGCCACAAUAUGAUUUAUAUGAAAAUAAAUAAAGUGGGUCUACUACUUUA